rnacentral:lncRNA from 1 species
AGACCAGUUGCUAAGCCCAUCCACAUUCAGCUCUUAGUCUUCAGAGGGAAACUUUGAGCACAGUGAGAAUCUCCCAGUGUGCAAGAGGGUCCCUGUGUGCCAGCUGCAGCUGGGGCCUCAGCCAUCUCCUCUCUCAACAGGUUCCCCUCUGCAGCUUCACAGGAAAGGCCAAACACCUCCCUCAGGGACACCUGCACCACACAUUUCACAUCUCCAUGCCCAUACGUGAUGUCCCUGUCACAGCUGCGUUACCAGCUUGCUGCUGUGCAGAUGCUGCCACCACCCAAAGCAAGGCCCUGUGUCCCUGAAGGGACCCGCCCUGCUCUGUGGCCUGGACUGAAGAUUGGGAUGGUGACAUGGGGCAUCUGGAAGCCCCGGGACAUGACGGUUUGAGACCCAUGGAGAAUGCUGGAGCCAAGCCUCUUGGUGAAGGUGAUCUGGCUUCCCAACCCACAUCCAGGACUGAGGCUCUUGGAGAUGGUGAGGGUGUGUCUGCAGGGAGGACUUUCCAGGCUCCUGGGCUGGAUGCUGCACGCAAGCCCAGCUCCCGUCGCAGGGGUCCUCCAAGAGGAAAGAACAAAGCUACAGGACACCGGAAACCCCAUGAGCCAUCCAAUACCAUGCAGCAAAUGCUGAAGGAAAUGCUGCAGGGAGGACAAGAGAUGAACCCAAAGGCUGUGCUGAAGGCAGCGUUUCCCGGAGGAAGCAGUGGCUCAUGGGCAGCCUCUGCUGCAGGAAGGGAGGCCAUGCCAGGCACAGCCCCAGGAGAUUGGGAUCGUGACAUGGAGCAUCUGAAAGCCCUGGCACAUAAUGGUUUGAGAUCCAUGGAGAAUGCUGGAGGUCCUCCAAGAUGGAAGAACAAAGAGAUAGAAGACAAGAAUUCCCUGGAGGCAUCCCAACUUCUGGACAGGAUGCUGAGUGAUCUGGAGAGACGCCGUGUGCUGGAGCAGAUGUUUGUGCAGAUGAUGGCAUAUGCUAGAGGAAGGAAUGGCCCUGUGCCAGCUCCUGUUGCAGGAAAGGAGGAGAUGCCAGGCCCAGGCACAGGAGAUGCGCUUGGCAAGUCCAGUAUAAAUGCUGAGAAUCCACCGAGCACCCCAAGAGUGUUCUGCCCGCAGGAUGUGCGCAAGUCCUGCAUGAUAGGCACAGCAGUGACACUGUUCACAGUGCCACUUUCCAUGGUCCUGUGCUAUGUUGGAUUCCAGUGGUGGAAGGACAAGAAACGUCACCCUGCUGCAGCUCCAGCAUACCAGCCAAGAAGGUGUGAUUCUCCCUUGCCCCCAGGGAGCCCAGAGACUGCCUUGUUCGACAGCUCUCAGAUGUGGCCUCAGAUGCAGGAGUCGACCUGGAAAGCAGAGCACCAGCACUCCAUGCCUCCCCCACGGCCCCCCAGCCCGGCUGUGAAGAGGAAGCCCCCUGAGAUCCCCCCACCUCCUCCCCUCCCAAGCCGGCCACCCUGGUCCAGCUAG